AGCGGAGAAGAGCAAUUGGUUCCGCUCGUCAGGCUCAUAAUCUGAAGGCUGUAGGUUCGAGUCCUACCUCCGCUC